GAUCACGGUUAACUUCUACGCCAGGUAAUUCUGCUUUUCUCUGCUCUGGAACAGCCAAUCCAAUACGUCAGAGUCAGAACCGUUUGAGAAUUAUUGUGCGCGCGCAAGUGAAAUUUUCUACAGCAAGCAAAACAGUCAAAGCAUGCGCUGCCAACAGUUGAGUAUGUGUGCGUGUGUUAACUUGUAAUAUAUUUAAGCUCUAUACAUACCCAGAUACAUAUAUUUAUCCAUAAAGCAUUUAAACUGAUUUUAAAUAAAUCUGCACAAAAUCCGCAGUUUGGCAACUUGAUAUUCCGCACAAGCUGCAUUUCUUGGAAUGCGGCCGCAGUCGGCGAUCUUAGGGUUGAAUUUAUUUAUUUAUUUUUAAUUUUAAUUGGAGCUCAUUAGCGGCGUAUCGAACUGUAUGAAUGCUGUAAUGAAAUUGUAAAUUAAUUCCUAACAAUUAAAUGAAUAUUUCUUUAAUAAAUUAGUUAGUUUGCACCCUACAAUCGAAUCCGAGCAAAUUGUCAGACAUAGAUGUUGGAAUAAACUGAAUUGACAUGACAAAAUAAAUUAAAAUAGAUCCAUCAGAAAUGUCAUCAAUGCUAUACAAAAUUGUAUUCUGCAAAAAUCCUCUUGUAGUAGACUGACAAAUCAGAGACAAGCUGUAUAUUUGAAUAUCAAAAAAUUUCUGUUAUUUGAGAAACUCUACGCGUUGAAUAAAAAUCUUUACUAAUUGUAAAA